GCGCACGUAGCCAAGCGGCCUAAGGCGCCCGCCUGCAGAGCGGGUAUUCCCCGGUUCGAAUCCGGGCGUGCGCU
rnacentral:tRNA from 1 species